rnacentral:rRNA from 1 species
CAAGUGAAGAAGCGCAUAC